rnacentral:misc_RNA from 1 species
UUUGGUGCGGCCAACCGAACAUAGGGCUGUCUCUUCACUCUCCCACCCGUCAUUGAACAUGUCGUGGUCGGGAUGCUUCCGAUCGGUUGCCUGUGCGGUUCUACCCUCUUGUGGGUAGCGAACUCGUCCCUUGAUGGAUAUAUGCUUGCCCUUGUGACAUUUUUGUGUCGUUUGGGCAGCCGAAAUGUUGGCGAUAUCCUUGUGUUGGCGCGUGGUUGAAUGMUGUGUUGCUAUCACUUGGAUUUUUGCCGGCUCUCACGGAUGCGGUGCCUAGCGCUAGCUCUGCGGGACUUUGCCCCGCAGACUUCGGGAGGUCCCUUGUACGAAUCAUUGCUCUUAUACGCCGUCUUGUCGUGCCGCUACCGUGGCACGCAGAUCGUGUUCUUUCGUGCAGUCGUUGACAGCACGAAAGCGAACAUUAGUGUCCGGAGCGUGGUCUUGUGCACGUGGAAUGCCUCUCCGAUCGUAUGAGUAGCGAU